rnacentral:rRNA from 1 species
GAAGGAGUCUAACACAUGUGCGAGCGAAUGACAUUCCAAAUGUCACAGGCGUACGCGAAAGCAAAGUUGGCUGUAUCGGCCGAUGCUGGAGGAUCCCGUAGCGUGUUUCGCUGCGGGCGCACUCUGGAGGUGUCCUAACAACCUGGUACUUGCAGGGCUUGCUCUGCAGGCGUUGGGUGGGAUGCACUAAGAGCAUAUGUGCUGGGACCCGAAAGAUGGUGAACUAUGCCUGUCCAGGUUGAAGCCAGGGGAAACCCUGGUGGAAGACCGCAGCGGUUCUGACGUGCAAAUCGAUCGUCGGAGGUGGGCAUAGGGGCGAAAGACCAAUCGAACCAUCUAGUAGCUGGUUCCCACCGAAGUUUCCCUCAGGAUAGCUGGUGCUCGAGCGUGAUUGGAGUCUCAUCUGGUAAAGUGAAUGAUCAGGGGUCUUGGGGUUGAAACGACCUCAACCUAUUCUCAAACUAUAAAUUGGUGAGAACUUGGGGUUUUUUGAACGAACCUCAUUGUAUGGAUCCAUGAGUGCCUAGUGGGCCCGUCCUGGUAAGCAGGACUGGCGCUGUGGGAUGAACCAAACGUCGGGCUAAGGUGGACAAAUCUAUGCUGAUCAGACACCAGAAAAGGCGUUGUUUGCUUAAAACAGCAGGACGGUGGCCAUGGAAGUCGGCAUCCGACUAAGGAGU